GUUUGACAAAAGAAAUCUUUACUACUGAUGGAAUGUUGUUAUAAUUGUUAUAAUAUUUGUUAUAAAUGACAGCACACUACAUGUAUCAAAGUGUUAUCACCAUUACCAAAAUAUUUACAACAUACUGAAUGUAAAGUCAGAACAUCAUCAUAAACUCAAAUGAUAUUCAACUAUAUCAGGUUUAAAACAAAUGUUUUUUGGCUUCAUUUUCAAUGUGAAUAAUAAUUUUAUAUUAAACGUGAAACAAUUGGCUUCCAGCACAGAAAAUGUGUUAAUUUUAAUCUUGGCUGGGCAACAUCUGCUAGUUAGACUAAUAGUCAGUUGUUCUCAAUGUCUGCUAACAAGACUAAGAGAUAGUUGUUCUGGGCUACUCAAGACAAAGAUUCUGAUGUUAGCUUCCUAUUUUGCUGUCUACUAGACAGUUGACUCCAUGCACUGCACUACAAGGGUGAGAACUUCACAUGGUGAAUGUGAAAUAACUGAAAGCUCAUUUAGUUGACAGAAAUGUCUUUAAAAAACUGUUAGCAAUCUGUAUUCUGUCAAUAUUUCAUCAAAUAUGAAAACGUGUGCUAAGGCUUUCAAAUAGUAGGAAAUGCUCAAUUGAAAUAUGAAUAACUGAUUCAUAGUUAAAUUUAUACUUUCUCUUGAAAUGAAUCCCAUUUAUUUAUUUUUUUUACUUUAAAUGAAUGGGAGUACCAGUUGUACUGCAAACUUUAUUUUCUAAAGUUUCUAUUUGAGUUUUUCAAAGAACUUUUCCAAUUUCAGUUAUUAUGUUUAUUCAGAAAACUGUCUUUGAAGUUAGAUCCUGAACCAUUUGCUAAGUGCAUCCUCAGGUAGAGAAACUUUGCUCCAUUGUAUAGGUUAGUUCUGAAUAGCACACUAAUAAAUUUUGUUAGAGAAAGUUAGAUACAUCAUUAAACAAAAACAAGUACAAUAAACUAAUUAAGUACAAUAAACUAAACAAGUACAAUAAACUAAUUAAGUACAAUAAACUA